GCCAAACCCAUGUGACCAUACCAAACUGUUGCCUCGGCGGGGUCACGCCCCGGGUGCGUCGCAGCCCCGGAACCAGGCGCCCGCCGGAGGGACCAACCAAACUCUUUCUGUAGUCCCCUCGCGGACGUUAUUUCUUACAGCUCUGAGCAAAAAUUCAAAAUGAAUCAAAACUUUCAACAACGGAUCUCUUGGUUCUGGCAUCGAUGAAGAACGCAGCGAAAUGCGAUAAGUAAUGUGAAUUGCAGAAUUCAGUGAAUCAUCGAAUCUUUGAACGCACAUUGCGCCCGCCAGUAUUCUGGCGGGCAUGCCUGUCCGAGCGUCAUUUCAACCCUCGAACCCCUCCGGGGGGUCGGCGUUGGGGAUCGGGAACCCCUAAGACGGGAUCCCGGCCCCGAAAUACAGUGGCGGUCUCGCCGCAGCCUCUCCUGCGCAGUAGUUUGCACAACUCGCACCGGGAGCGCGGCGCGUCCACGUCCGUAAAACACCCAACUUCUGAAAUGUUGACCUCGGAUCAGGUAGGAAUACCCGCUGAACUUAAGCAUAUCAAUAAGCGGGGAGGGAAAACUGAACCGGGAGAGAAAACUCCAAUCUCUUGUGUUGCAGAGAAAAGAGUCUGCACGGGGUAAUGUCCGAUCGUCGUAAUAACGGAACAGGCGGAUAGGAGGAGUCAAAUGAUCAUACUACCCUCACAGAUCGUAAACUCUCCCGCUCGGAUCUAGAGCGUUAAUGCAACCUACCCUCCCUAACGCUCGUGAUAUCGUUNCGCUCCUGUAAACACCCCAUAAACACGAAGAUCACGAGUGGAGUGUGUAUGGGCCAAACGUAUCUGUAUACAUCUUGUAAUUUUACGCACGCUAGCGUAGCUCGCUAGUGUAGAGUGAGAUGUUACGAUGGCAUUAUUACCCUCCGCAACUGCCNNNGGNNUUGGUCUNUU
rnacentral:rRNA from 1 species